AUUGAACGCUGGCGGCAUGCCUUACACAUGCAAGUCGAACGGCAGCGCGGACUUCGGUCUGGCGGCGAGUGGCGAACGGGUGAGUAAUACAUCGGAACGUACCCUGUUGUGGGGGAUAACUAGUCGAAAGAUUAGCUAAUACCGCAUACGACCUGAGGGUGAAAGUGGGGGACCGCAAGGCCUCACGCAGCAGGAGCGUCCGAUGUCUGAUUAGCUAGUUGGUGGGGUAAAGGCCCACCAAGGCGACGAUCAGUAGCUGGUCUGAGAGGACGAUCAGCCACACUGGGACUGAGACACGGCCCAGACUCCUACGGGAGGCAGCAGUGGGGAAUUUUGGACAAUGGGGGCAACCCUGAUCCAGCAAUGCCGCGUGUGUGAAGAAGGCCUUCGGGUUGUAAAGCACUUUUGUCCGGAAAGAAAUCGCGCUGGUUAAUACCUGGCGUGGAUGACGGUACCGGAAGAAUAAGCACCGGCUAACUACGUG
rnacentral:rRNA from 1 species